rnacentral:lncRNA from 1 species
GCGAGAAUGCGUGGGGCAGAUGAGUGUCUGGGUUGAAGAGCUGGGGUGGACAUUGGGGAAGGUUCCCACAACUGGCUUUUGCCCCAUGUGAUUGCGAACGACCUCUUAAGGCCAGAAGCUGGAUUUCAGGUGUUGCUACCCUAAGACUCUCAGGGAGACCAGGGCCCUCAGCAAGCCCUCUGGCUUUGGGUUUGACCGGCCAGAGUAGCCACCUCGUUGUUGACAUAGUUAUAUGACCCUCCAAAAUACAGCUACCUGUUUAGUUUCAACACGUCGGCUCGAUUGGUGAAACAUAAACCUAGACCAGUAACUAAAAGAAGAAAACUGCCUUUGCAAGCUUGUGCAGGAUGCAGAAUAAAUCCUCAUCAUGCAUCCCUGGUUUUAUUCAGCUUAAUUACACUAGAAAUCCUGCCCCCCACGAAAAAGCCUGGAACCCUGCAGUAGAGUUUCGAAAGGAGCAUUUUUUCGAGAUAAGAAGUGACCGAUCAAAAUCGCUGAGGGGAGGUUGUAAGCAGCCGCUUUGCCCCAGCUUAGCCUUAUCUUAUCUUUCACACUUGCAUGGCGGAAAAAAAUUGGCUUAUCUUUAUCCCCACCCCCUUCUCGCCUUAAUUGCUAAAAAACAUUGGUGUGUUAAACGGGCAGGAAGGAGGUCUCUGGAUUGUCAGUAGAACAGGAAGAUUCUAAUAUGUGGGGUCCUUGGGGAAAGAAGGGUGACAGUUUAUUUCCUUUAGGCCUUUCUUGUACAGUGCCCAGGGUCCAGUCCCAGCUGGCACCAUGACCAGAUUUCUUUUUUAAAAAGAAGAAUUAAACAAAAACAAAAACCCGUAUGGCUUUGGCUUGGGCAGCUUCCCAAGGCCUCUUUUUUCUCAGUACUCUGUUUACUAACCUCUCCCGUUCAUCUCUCCCCCCAAACUGUCAGUACUGUACCUUCACCC